rnacentral:misc_RNA from 1 species
CCAGCAACAACAGCCUGCAUAUACCUCUCAGGCAACCCUCCAGCAGCCCCAAUAAGCCCACCUUGGACCAACGCAUCAGCCAUGCCGGAAAGCGCAAUCGCCACGACCGUCACAUCAAACCCAUCACUCAACCCGACCCGACCCUUUAUAUAAACCGCAUCCAUAAUCGGGACAACCAACAGAGAAACGACGAAGAGGGCCAGGCCCGCAUUUAUCCUAACAUAAGCAUCGGCUACAUGGGCGUAAAAGACGAUCACCAAAAGGCAGCAGAGUCCCACCACCAUGUAAGCCACGGCGAAUAUGCGGUCAACUGAAACCCCGGGAUAGAUGUAGGAGAAGUAAUCGACAGCGGUGAUGAAGGCAUUCCACGGGAGAAGAAAGCCAAGGCCGAGUGUAAAGUAGAUUAUGUAGGCCAAGUGGAAAGUGUCUUUUGGGACAUUUUGAGAGAUGGCCGGACUUGAAGCGGAAGCGGAGGCGGCGUCGGGUAGCAAUAGGGAGGAUUCGGAGUCGGGGUCAUUGUCGGUGGGUCCGCCAGCAAGACCCAUGAGAGAGUUAGAAGGCGGAGUGGGUCUGGAUUCGAGCUUGGGUUUUGGGUGGUUGACCGGUGAUCGUAAGAACUUUUUCUUGAUGGAGGGAGCGGACUGGUAUUUUGCCGGUGGCGGAGCUGUGGUCAGAUUUUGAUUAGGUAAGAAACGACAGCGUGUCCAUGCUUGUCACAUACGAAACCUUUCAAGACCCCAACUAUCUUUUUUUUUUCACAUGUGACAGGCACGUAGUCUUUCAUUUUUUUUAAUUAAAGGGCA